CAGCCGCCACGGUAAUACGUAGGUGGCAAGCGUUGUCCGGAAUUAUUGGGCGUAAAGGGCUCGCAGGCGGUUUCUUAAGUCUGAUGUGAAAGCCCCCGGCUCAACCGGGGAGGGUCAUUGGAAACUGGGAAACUUGAGUGCAGAAGAGGAGAGUGGAAUUCCACGUGUAGCGGUGAAAUGCGUAGAGAUGUGGAGGAACACCAGUGGCGUAGGCGACUCUCUGGUCUGUAACUGACGCUGAGGAGCGAAAGCGUGGGGAGCGAACAGGAUUAGAUACCCCGGUAGUCCCUGUCUCUUAUAC
rnacentral:rRNA from 1 species